rnacentral:lncRNA from 1 species
AGUGUACCCUUCCCCUCCUGCCUUUUUAGUAGCUCUGGGUAAAUAUUGAUCUGUUUACCUCCUCCCUGAAUGGCCAUUUGCACACUAAGGAAUUAGCCUCUGUAGGGACUUGAUUUUUGUGUUACUUUCCGGCCCCGUUAGCCCCCCUUCCUUCCUCCAAGUGGCAUUGUAAAACUCACGGUGACAAAGAGACAGGAUAGGGUUCGAGGCCCCAGUUCCUGAAGACUUGAGGGCUGUUUUACAUACGGGUCAGACACGGCUAGAGGCCAAGGUCAAGUUGAAAGUUGCCGUCUAGCCAGUGUGAGAACUGCCAUGCAAGCCUGGAGAUUCAGGCAGCUGCCGCAAGGCCCACUGCUCACCUCCCUUCU